rnacentral:rRNA from 1 species
AGAUUGAACGCUGGCGGCAGGCCUAACACAUGCAAGUCGAGCGCGAAAGGUUUUCGGACUGAGUAAAGCGGCGGACGGGUGAGUAACGCGUGGGAAUCUGCCCAGUAGUGGGGGGACAACGUUCCGAAAGGAACGCUAAUACCGCAUACGCCCUACGGGGGAAAGGGGGGGAUCUUCGGACCUCUCGCUAUUGGAUGAGCCUGCGUCGGAUUAGCUAGUUGGUAGGGUGAAGGCCUACCAAGGCUACGAUCCGUAACUGGUCUGAGAGGAUGAUCAGUCACACUGGAACUGAGACACGGUCCAGACUCCUACGGGAGCAGCAGUGGGGAAUAUUGGACAAUGGGGGCAACCCUGAUCCAGCCAUGCCGCGUGUGUGAAGAGGCCGUUAGGUUGUAAGCACUUUCGAGUGGGAAGAAAGUAGAUUACUACUUAAUACGUGACGUCAAUUGAUGUUACCACAGAAGAAGCCGACCGCUAACCGUCCGU